UACGGGGGGUGCAAGCGUUAUUCGGAAUUAUUGGGCGUAAAGGGCGCGUAGGCGGUUUUGUCGGUCAGAUGUGAAAGCCCAGGGCUCAACCCUGGACGUGCAUUUGAAACAGCAAGACUUGAGUACGGGAGAGGAAAGCGGAAUUCCUGGUGUAGAGGUGAAAUUCGUAGAUAUCAGGAGGAACACCGAUGGCGAAGGCAGCUUUCUGGACCGAUACUGACGCUGAGGCGCGAAGGCGUGGGUAGCGAACAGGAUUAGAUACCCUGGUAGUCCACGCAGUAAACGAUGUUCACUCGGUGUAGCGGAUAUUAAAAUCUGCUGCGCCCAAGCUAACGCAUUAAGUGAACCGCCUGGGGAGUACGGUCGCAAGACUA
rnacentral:rRNA from 1 species